CGUAGUUGGGGCCUUUGGGGGGCCGCAGUAGGGAAUAUUCCGCAAUGGACGAAAGUCUGACGGAGCAACUCCGCGUGAGUGAAGAAGGUUUUCGGAUCGUAAAACUCUGUUGUCAGAGAAGAACAAGCUCGAGAGUAACUGCUUCAGCCUGACGGUUCUAACAUAAGAUUGGGAUAAAA
rnacentral:rRNA from 1 species